rnacentral:rRNA from 1 species
CAGUCGCCGCGGGAAUACGAAGGGGGCUAGCGUUGCUCGGAAUUACUGGGCGUAAAGCGCACGUAGGCUGACAUUUAAGUCAGGGGUGAAAUCCCGGGGCUCAACCUCGGAACUGCCUUUGAUACUGGGUGUCUUGAGUGUGGAAGAGGUAAGUGGAAUUGCGAGUGUAGAGGUGAAAUUCGUAGAUAUUCGCAGGAACACCAGUGGCGAAGGCGGCUUACUGGUCCACAACUGACGCUGAGGUGCGAAAGCGUGGGGAGCAAACAGGAUUAGAUACCCCGGUAGUCCCUGUCUCUUAUAC